rnacentral:lncRNA from 10 species
GUUCUUUAGUGGUGAUUUCUGAGAUUUUGGUGCACCUAUCACCUAAGCAGGGUACACUAUGCCCAAUGUGUAGUCUCUUAUCCCUCACCCCCCAUCCUUUCCCUUGACUCCCCAAAGUCCAUUGUAACAUUCUUAUGCCUUUGUGUCCUCAUAAUUUAGCUCCCAAUUGUGAGUGAGAACAUAUGAUGUUUGGUUUUCCACUCCCGAGUUGCUUCACUUACAAUAAUAGUCUCCAAUUCAUGCCAACAUCUAUUAUUUUUUGAUUUUUUGAUCAUGACCAUUGUUGUAGGAGGGAGGUGGUAUCCCAUUAUGGUUUUGAUUUGUAUUUCCCUGAUAAUUAGUGAUGCUGAACAUCUUUCCAUAUACUUGUUGGCCAUUUGUAUAUCUGAGUAGAAGGUAAUUCUAAUAAAUAAAACAGGAAGGCAGCAGAAAGAGGUUUGUUUGGGAUAUGGCUUGAUUAUUUGCAAGAUAUUUGCUGUAGCUUAGGAGAAAGGUGGAUGUUGGUGAUACUGAUUUUGUCAUUAUCUGUGAGUUAAAGUUUCUAAAAUCACGUGGCUUCCUAGGGAAAGCAUAUAGAAUGACAAGGGAAGAUGGCUAGAUGGCUAGUAAUGGCACCCUGAACAACUUCAGCAUUUAGAGGUGGGUGGAGGAGGAUAAGCCCAUGGAAGAAACAGAAAGGAUGGGCCAGCGAGAUGAGAGGAGAAGCUAAGGGAGUAGACAGUUACCAGAGGGAAGGUGGGAUCAGUUAAGAACCUUAGUAUGUUGCAAAGAAAUAACCUGCAAUGCGGACCAACCCGGGGAACGUCUGUAAAAAUGAUGACAAUUCUUAAUUGUAAUUUAAAAUGUAAUUGUAUUGAGAGCUCUCUCUGUCUUUGUCUCAUCAUAAUUUGAAGCAGAUUAACUACAUAUUAGCUAGAAAAAGCCCUUUGAAAUUUUCCUUCAAUGUAUCAAUAGAUUCUAUGACUUUUUGUAAGUAGAAACUGCC